CAGCCGCCACGGGAAAACGUAGGGUGCAAGCGUUAAUCGGAAUUACUGGGCGUAAAGCGUGCGCAGGCGGUUAUAUAAGUCAGAUGUGAAAUCCCCGGGCUCAACCUGGGAACUGCAUUUGAGGCUGUAUGGCUAGAGUGUGUCAGAGGGGGGUAGAAUUCCACGUGUAGCAGUGAAAUGCGUAGAUAUGUGGAGGAAUACCGAUGGCGAAGGCAGCCCCCUGGGAUAACACUGACGCUCAUGCACGAAAGCGUGGGGAGCAAACAGGAUUAGAUACCCCAGUAGUCCCUGUCUCUUUACA
rnacentral:rRNA from 1 species